CAGUCGCCGCGGUAAUACGGAGGGAGCUAGCGUUGUUCGGAAUUACUGGGCGUAAAGCGCACGUAGGCGGCUUUGUAAGUUAGAGGUGAGAGCCUGGAGCUCAACUCCAGAAUUGCCUUUAAGACUGCAUCGCUUGAAUCCAGGAGAGGUGAGUGGAAUUCCGAGUGUAGAGGUGAAAUUCGUAGAUAUUCGGAGGAACACCAGUGGCGAAGGCGGCCCACUGGACCAUUACUGACGCUGAGGUGCGAAAGCGUGGGGAGCAAACAGGAUUAGAGACCCCUGUAGUCCCUGUCUCUUAUAC
rnacentral:rRNA from 1 species